GACGAACGCUGGCGGCGUGCUUAACACAUGCAAGGCGAACGGAGCACCCUUGAUUGAGGUUUCGGCCAAAUGAUAGGAAUGCUUAGUGGCGGACUGGUGAGUAACGCGUGAGGAACCUGCCUUUCAGAGGGGGACAACAGUUGGAAACGACUGCUAAUACCGCAUGACGCAUUUUGAUCGCAUGGUCGAAAUGCCAAAGAUUUAUCGCUGAAAGAUGGCCUCGCGUCUGAUUAGCUAGUUGGUGAGGUAACGGCCCACCAAGGCGACGAUCAGUAGCCGGACUGAGAGGUUGACCGGCCACAUUGGGACUGAGAUACGGCCCAGACUCCUACGGGAGGCAGCAGUGGGGAAUAUUGGGCAAUGGGCGCAAGCCUGACCCAGCAACGCCGCGUGAAGGAAGAAGGCUUUCGGGUUGUAAACUUCUUUUAAGUGGGAAGAGUAGAAGACGGUACCACUUGAAUAAGCCACGGCUAACUACGUGCCAGCAGCCGCGGUAAUACGUAGGUGGCAAGCGUUGUCCGGAUUUACUGGGUGUAAAGGGCGUGCAGCCGGGCAUGCAAGUCAGAUGUGAAAUCUCAGGGCUUAACCCUGAAACUGCAUUUGAAACUGUAUGUCUUGAGUGCCGGAGAGGUAAUCGGAAUUCCUUGUGUAGCGGUGAAAUGCGUAGAUAUAAGGAAGAACACCAGUGGCGAAGGCGGAUUACUGGACGGUAACUGACGGUGAGGCGCAAAAGCGUGGGGAGCGAACAAGAUUAGAUACCCUGGUAGUCCACGCUUA
rnacentral:rRNA from 1 species